AGAGCGAACGCUGGCGGCAUGCUUAACACAUGCAAGUCGCACGGGCGGGGGCAACCCUGUCAGUGGCGGACGGGUGAGUAACGCGUAGGUAUCUAUCCUUGGGUGGGGGACAACUGUGGGAAACUACAGCUAAUACCGCAUGAUGACCGAGGUCCAAAGCUCGCGAGAGCGCCUGGGGAGGAGCCUGCGUACGAUUAGCUAGUUGGUGGGGUAAAGGCCUACCAAGGCGACGAUCGUUAGCUGGUCUGAGAGGAUGAUCAGCCACAUUGGGACUGAGACACGGCCCAAACUCCUACGGGAGGCAGCAGUGGGGAAUAUUGGACAAUGGGCGCAAGCCUGAUCCAGCAAUGCCGCGUGUGUGAAGAAGGUCUUCGGAUUGUAAAGCACUUUCGACGGGACGAUGAUGACGGUACCCGUAGAAGAGCCCGGCUAACUUCGUGCCAGCAGCCGC
rnacentral:rRNA from 1 species